rnacentral:rRNA from 1 species
GACGAACGCUGGCGGCGUGCUUAACACAUGCAAGUCGAGCGGAGCGGCGAACGGGUGAGUAACGCGGGAGUAACUGCCCCCCUCCCUGGGAUAACAGUUGGAAACGGGUGCUAAUACCGGAUAGCGGGGGAUGACUCGCGUCCUAUCAGCGUGUGGGUGGGGUAGUGGUCUACCAAGGCGACGACGGGUAGCCGGCCUGGGAGGGCGACCGGCCACCUUGGGCUGAGAUACGGCCCAAACUCGUACGGGAGGCAGCAGUGGGGAAUAUUGCACACUGGGGGAAACCCUGAUGCAGAAACGCCGCGUGCGGAAUGACGGCCUUCGGGUUGUAAACCGCUUUCAGCCAUGACGCGGUAGUGGCAGAAGAAGCACCGGCUAACUACGUGCCAGCCGCCGCGGUAAUAC